rnacentral:rRNA from 1 species
UACGUAGGGGGCAAGCGUUGUCCGGAAUCAUUGGGCGUAAAGCGCGUGUAGGCGGCUCGGUAAGUCCGCUCUGAAAGUCCGGGGCUCAACCCCGGGAGGCGGGUGGAUACUGUCGAGCUCGAGUCCGGAAGAGGCGAGUGGAAUUCCUGGUGUAGCGGUGAAAUGCGCAGAUAUCGGGAGGAACACCAAUGGCGAAGGCAGCUCGCUGGGACGGUACUGACGCUGAGACGCGAAAGCGUGGGGAGCAAACAGG